rnacentral:lncRNA from 1 species
AGAACAACAUCCUAGGGCCCUCCCAGUUUGAUUCUCUUUAUUUUGCUAUAUCUCAACUAUUACAUACAUCAUUUAUGCUCUGAAGCUAACCAUUGUAUGCUUUGAUUGGUUGGAGCGGCAAGGUUUUCCAGAUCCUGGGAGUCUAUCCCUUCCAACAAUCUGGAGGUAGCAUAGUACAUCCGUACUCGCAGGUUGGUGUCUGACUGUCUUUGAAUGGUGUUGCUCCAGUGUUGUUUUCCAAUGAUUAAUUUGCAGAAAUUGAUUAUCUGGAUAUGUUUGCAUCUUGUUUACAUAUCCCUGUGAGUUCUCUUACAGGAAAAAUAUGAGUUUGGUGUUUCUUUACUGCCUGGAGCGCCGAGUGUCUGGUACCAAUGAACGGUGCACACUGAUAGUCAGUGAUUUGAACACUAGCUUAUGCCAGAUUUUACUGGUUCCGUUUUGAGCCUUGGAAGGCUCAUUUCACAAUCUUAAUAUUUUGACUACCUUUUCAAAUGCCAGAGUAUAUUUUAUAUAGAAAAUACCGACUGCAAAGUUAUACUAUCAAGUAAAUUCCACACACAAAAUAAAUAAGAGAAACUUAUAUGUAACGUUGGCAGAUGCUUGUUGGCAUGGAACGGACAUUGUGGAUCCAGUGUGAGAAUCUCAUAGCUGCACUAACUAAUUGUACUAUUCUUUUAGAAUGACAGCCUCCCUGAGUUUGUUUCAUUUAAAAUGGUUUGCCUCACUAAUUGUAUGUCAGGCUGCAACAUCCUUCGUUCCUCCACAUACGACCCUGCGACUAAACCGAGCCGCAUACAUCUACAACGCUUUUGUGUUGCUGAUGCCGUCGCGGCCUCCCCACAUGGGUUCCCAACCUCUGUUCGCCGGCCCGCGCCCCCACAUCUCCUCACAUUAAUAUGGCUGCCGGCUGCAGAAUCGACGAGGAGGUCGCAGUGGAGGGGUGGUGCUGCAGUGGCUAGCAAGAUAUCAUAAGCUCUCCUUUGUUCUUUUGUGUUUGAAUCAGAUUCAGUGGUUCUUGAUUUUACAGUCAUGUAUCGACCACCAUUGGGUAAGCUCAUCAAGGUUUAUCUUGGUUGCAGUUUGCAUAAGCUAGGUUUGGAUUACACUGACCUUUGCCAGAUAUAUUUGCUUGAUAGGUCGAUUGCAUUAUAUGCUAGAGGGUGCAAUGCCUUGUUUUUUAAUGCUUGUAUCAUGUGCACCCUAGAGCCGUAACACUGGUUGUUUCAGGCCCUAAAUAAAAUCUGACACUUGAAAAUUAUCGGGGCAUGCCGUUUGAACUACCACACCCCAUAUAAAAUGGUGGAUUGUGCCAUAUUCGUAUAAGUCUUGCUUACCCUGUAAUUAUGUUCAUAUGUUUGGACAGAGGGAAUAUGUCUGAGCCGCCGUUAUGUGUUUCUACUAAUUAAAGAACAACUAGGGUCAUUUGAAAGAAGACGAGGUAUGUUGCGGGGCUAUUGUCGAUUCUUGCCUAUUUGUCAUUAGUUAUUCUGUUUUGGCGGAAUUACUAUGUUAUCAAAUUUGAGUGUUCAACAACUUGCAGAAGUAAUUACAUGCCAAAUUUCUAAAUCUUAGUUCAUAUGCAGCUGGAAGAAUUCCACGAUAGACCAUUGCUUCAAGGUUGGGAGCGGCCACAACAUAAUUGACAUCAAAACCAGAUCUGGGUCCUACAUAUCCGGUCUUGCUCGGUGAGAUUUCUAUUUUCCAAUCCGUUAUAUACCUAUGAUUUAUUUGCUACAUGAGGUAGUGGCGGGAUCACCUUUACAAUGCCAAAUUAUAUUUCUAUUUCUACAGUAUUAGCUACUAGCCAACAGCAUGUGUUUACACUCUCAUCAGUUAACAGAGUGAUUAGUCAUAGUAAACUAUGUGCCAGCUUAUGUGAGUCCAAUCGAUCUAUCUUUUACCGGCAUUCCCCAUUGUGUAAAUUGGGAUUAUUUGCACCAGCCUUCAUACACUCCUAAAACAUGGUAGGUAAGACAAGCAAAUAGGCACCAGUGGAGCUAUGGCAAGGCUCAAAGGGCCAUGGCCCGCCCUGGGCUAGAGCGAAAAGGAGUUUUACAUGAAGUUUAUCCCACAAUAUUGCAUUGAUUUUUAGUUUGGUGGUGCUAUUUGCACUAUCCAGCCCACCAACAUUUUUUAGGUAACUCCGCCACUGCAAAUAGGUAUCACGAUGGUUGGUGCCUAGAGGGAAGUGAGAAGAAGAGAAGACACAACAUGGAGAGGAAGACAAUCAGAUAUAUCACUUGUUGCUUUACAUCUUUUGUUUGAGCCUUGCUACAUGAUUGCUCUUGCAAUUGAGGUUUUCCAGUGAGCGUUUUAUUACAUAGAUAGGCUCUUUCUGAUGACACCAAGGCUACGACAAUGAGUAGGCAUGCUCUUUUGAAAAUGGGUAGGCAUACUCUUUUCAAAAUGAGUAGGCAUCUUUCCUUUCUGAAUAAUGGUAACAUUAAUUUGUUUACUUGUUAAGAUUUCCCUUGAAUGACUUACUAUUGUUAUGCACUUAUGUUGAAUGAAAUUUCAUCCAUUUUGUAGUAUCCUACAAUGGUUUAUAGAUGGUGUGGCUCCUUGCACUAAGAUGAUCGAUCAGAGAUCUAGAGUCCUCAAUACAGUCGAUGACGCCUCCUCAAGAUUCACUUCUUCGUAGCCCCCAACCUUGGUAUAGUAUAAAAACCUACAAAUAAAUCAGAAGAAUAGGCAAUUAUCGGAUGCUUAUGUUUGUUGGUGUAGUAGCCCUCUUAAGUCCAGUCCUAGAGAAGUGUGUCGUAGAAGCAUAUCAGGAAGACAUGGACGUGGAUAUGCAUUAUGGUUGUAUUAUGGACGUGGAUAUGGUCGCUAUAUUAGAUAUAUCUUUUACAUAUUUUUCUGAGUUUGUUCUCAGGGGUGGGUCGUGGCUACCUGAUAACGAUCCAAUUUGGUUGUUUUAUGAUCUUGUCAAGAUAUUUCACACCAUACGGAUUAACUAUCACCAGUUUUAGUUAAUGAUUCCUGAUAUUUAUCUCCCAAUGGUUAUCCGUCCGCACAGUUGCAUGCAACUACAAGUACAAACUAAUUUUUUAACUUCCAUUUCUUGAUCAAUUGACAUUGGAAAGUUAGCACUAUUAACGCACUCUUUG